UACGAAGGUCCCAAGCGUUAUCCGGAUUUAUUGGGUUUAAAGGGUGCGUAGGCGGGCUAUUAAGUCAGUGGUGAAAGCCCCAAGCUUAACUUGGGAACUGCCAUUGAUACUGAUGGUCUUGAGUACAUUUGAGGUGGGCGGAAUGUGUCAUGUAGCGGUGAAAUGCUUAGAUAUGACACAGAACACCGAUUGCGAAGGCAGCUCACUAAACUGUAACUGACGCUGGAGGCACGAAAGCCGUGGGGGAGCAAAACAGGGAUUAGAAACCCCGAG
rnacentral:rRNA from 1 species